rnacentral:lncRNA from 1 species
UGCUUUUGUAAUAAUUAUCAAAAUACAAUAUUGUAGUUGUAAUUAGUUAAUCAAUAAAAAUGAUUUUGUAUAACACAAAUAAUUGCAAUUUAUUCUUAUACGCAAAUAUUAAAUUGUAAUCGAAAACAGAGGCGAGAAAUCCGGGGGAGACACACAAACUCAUUAGUCGAGAACAUAAUGACGAUUGCAAAUUACGAAAUAAAAUCAUGAU